UACAGGGGGUGCAAACGUUGCUCGGAAUUAUUGGGCGUAAAGCGCGCGUAGGCGGCUACCUAAGUCGGAUGUGAAAGCCCCUGGCUUAACUGGGGAAGUGCACCCGAAACUGGGUAGCUAGAGUGCAAAAGAGGGUCGCGGAAUUCCCAGUGUAGAGGUGAAAUUCGUAGAUAUUGGGAGGAACACCGGUGGCGAAGGCGGCGACCUGGGUUGACACUGACGCUGAGGCGCGAAAGCGUGGGGAGCAA
rnacentral:rRNA from 1 species